rnacentral:misc_RNA from 1 species
GAUGAAGAACGCAGCGAAAUGCGAUAAGUAGUGUGAAUUGCAGAAUUCAGUGAAUCAUCGAAUCUUUGAACGCACAUUGCGCCCCUUGGUAUUCCAUGGGGCAUGCCUGUUCGAGCGUCAUUUGUACCUUCAAGCUUUGCUUGGUGUUGGGUGUUUGUCUCGCCUUUGCGUGUAGACUCGCCUUAAAAUAAUUGGCAGCCGGCGUAUUGAUUUCGGAGCGCAGUACACCUCGCGCUUUGCACUCAUAACGACAGCGUCCAAAAGUACAUUUUACACUCUUGACCUCGGAUCAGGUAGGGAUACCCGCUGAACUUAAGCAUAUCAAUAAGCGGAGGA